rnacentral:tRNA from 1 species
UUAAUUGAAACCAAAGCCGAGGUAUGCCCCUGUUAAUGGCAACAUUGAGAUCUUCUCCAAUUAAG